CGGGCGGCUGGGCGGGCCUCGCCGACCGCGCCGGCUGCGAACAGGCGCUGGCCCGCGCGCAGGCCCUCUUCGAGCGGGGCCACUCGG
rnacentral:tRNA from 1 species